AAUCCUGGGUAAUUGCGGCCGGCUUAAGUCGGCUGAGGAAAGUCCAUUCUCGCACAGGCUGCGAUGCCUGUAGUGUUCGUGGUCGGUGAAAAAAUAAGCCGGCGGACGUGAGCAAUCACGUUACGGCGGGGGAAAACGACUAAGGCUUCGGCUAUGUCUGAGUACCCCUGAAAAGUGCCACAGUGACGAUACGUCUAGGGAAACCUAGGCGGUGGAACGCGGUAAACCCCUCGAGCGGGAAACCCAAACUUUGGUAGGGGAGCUUCACGUCAGGAAUUGAACGAUGCGUGGGGCAAGCAGAGAUGCUUGAGAUAGAUGAUUACCGCUGUGCGUCAGCUGCCUGAGUUAGCGUAGAGUACAAAACAUGGCUUACAGGG
rnacentral:RNase_P_RNA from 1 species